CAUCGAUGAUGAACGCAGCGAAAAUGCGAUAAGUAAUGUGAAUUGCAGAAUUCAGUGAAUCAUCGAAUCUUUGAACGCACCUUGCGCUCCUUGGUAUUCCGAGGAGCAUGCCUGUUUGAGUGUCAUGAAACCCUCAGCCUCUGACUUUCUUAAUCGUCGGUCAGCGGCUUGGACUUGGGUGUCUGCCGGUCUUCAUUGAUCGGCUCACCUGAAAUAUAUUAGCGAAUCCCUUCUGUAAUCGGUUCCACUCGACGUGAUAAGUACUUCGUCGAGGACAUCCUUAUUGAUGGCCGAGAUAAAGCUGGUUCUAGAUCUGCUUCUAACUCUUUCGUUGCCUUCUGGUAAAGAAAAACCCCUCAUGAUCUGGCCUCAAAUCAGGUAGGACUACCCGCUGAACUUAAGCAUAUCAAUAAGCGGAGGAAAAGAAACUAACAAGGAUUCCCCUAGUAACGGCGAGUGAAGCGGGAUGAGCUCAAAUUUAAAAUCUGGCUGCCUCAGGUGGUCCGAGUUGUAGUCUCGAGAAGCGUCUUCCGUGC
rnacentral:rRNA from 1 species